rnacentral:rRNA from 1 species
GAUGAACGCUAGCGGCAGGCCUAACACAUGCAAGUCGAGGGGUAACAGGGAUUGCUUGCAAUCCGCUGACGACCGGCGCACGGGUGCGUAACGCGUAUACAAUCUACCUUUUGCUGAGGGAUAGCCCAGAGAAAUUUGGAUUAAGACCUCAUGGUAUGUAUUUAUGGCAUCAUAAAUAUAUUAAAGGUUACGGCAAAAGAUGAGUAUGCGUUCUAUUAGCUAGAUGGUGUGGUAACGGCACACCAUGGCAACGAUAGAUAGGGGCCCUGAGAGGGGGAUCCCCCACACUGGUACUGAGACACGGACCAGACUCCUACGGGAGGCAGCAGUGAGGAAUAUUGGGCAAUGGAGGCAACUCUGACCCAGCCAUGCCGCGUGCAGGAAGACUGCCCUAUGGGUUGUAAACUGCUUUUAUACAGGAAGAAACAGCUCUACGUGUAGAGGCUUGACGGUACUGUAAGAAUAAGGAUCGGCUAACUCCGUGCCAGCAGCCGCGGUAAUACGGAGGAUCCAAGCGUUAUCCGGAAUCAUUGGGUUUAAAGGGUCCGUAGGUGGAUUAAUAAGUCAGAGGUGAAAUCCUGCAGCUCAACUGUAGAAUUGCCUUGGUACUGGUUAUCUUGAAUUAUUGUGAAGUGGUUAGAAUAUGUAGUGUAGCGGUGAAAUGCAUAGAUAUUACACAGAAUACCGAUUGCGAAGGCAGAUCACUAAUAAUGUACUGACACUGAUGGACGAAAGCGUGGGUAGCGAACAGGAUUAGAUACCCUGGUAGUCCACGCCGUAAACGAUGGUCACUAGCUGUUCGAACUUCGGUUUGAGUGGCUAAGCGAAAGUGAUAAGUGACCCACCUGGGGAGUACGUUCGCAAGAAUGAAACUCAAAGGAAUUGACGGGGGCCCGCACAAGCGGUGGAGCAUGUGGUUUAAUUCGAUGAUACGCGAGGAACCUUACCAGGGCUUAAAUGUAGAUUGACAGGACUAGAGAUAGUUUUUUCUUCGGACAAUUUACAAGGUGCUGCAUGGUUGUCGUCAGCUCGUGCCGUGAGGUGUCAGGUUAAGUCCUAUAACGAGCGCAACCCCUGUUGUUAGUUGCCAUCGAGUAAUGUCGGGAACUCUAACAAGACUGCCAGUGCAAACUGUGAGGAAGGUGGGGAUGACGUCAAAUCAUCACGGCCCUUACGUCCUGGGCUACACACGUGCUACAAUGGUAGGUACAGAGAGCAGCCACUUCGCGAGAAGGAGCGAAUCUAUAAAACCUAUCACAGUUCGGAUCGGAGUCUGCAACUCGACUCCGUGAAGCUGGAAUCGCUAGUAAUCGGAUAUCAGCCAUGAUCCGGUGAAUACGUUCCCGGGCCUUGUACACACCGCCCGUCAAGCCAUGGAAGCUGGGGGUACCUGAAGUCGGUUACCGCAAGGAGCUGCCUAGGGUAAAACUGGUAACUAGGGCU